rnacentral:rRNA from 1 species
AUACGUUAGUGGCGCACGGGUGAGUAACGCGUGGGAACGUGCCUUUUGGUUCGGAAUAACACCGGGAAACUGGUGCUAAUACCGGAUAAGUCCUUACGGAGAAAGUUUUAAUGCCAAAAGAUGAGCCCGCAUUUGAUUAGCUAGUUGGUGAGGUAAAAGCUCACCAAGGCGAUAAUCAAUAGCUGAUUUGAGAGGAUGAUCAGCCACACUGGGACUGAGAUACGGCCCAGACUCC